rnacentral:rRNA from 1 species
CUACGGGGGGCUGCAGUGGGGAAUAUUGCACAAUGGGCGCAAGCCUGAUGCAGCCAUGCCGCGUGUGUGAAGAAGGCCUUCGGGUUGUAGAGCACUUUCAGCGGGGAGGAAGGCGUUAAGGUUAAUAACCUUGGCGAUUGACGUUACCCGCAGAAGAAGCACCGGCUAACUCCGUGCCAGCAGCCGCGGUAAUACGGAGGGUGCAAGCGUUAAUCGGAAUUACUGGGCGUAAAGCGCACGCAGGCGGUCCGUCAAGUCGGAUGUGAAAUCCCCGGGCUCAACCUGGGAACUGCAUUCGAAACUGGCAGGCUAGAGUCUUGUAGAGGGGGGUAGAAUUCCAGGUGUAGCGGUGAAAUGCGUAGAGAUCUGGAGGAAUACCGGUGGCGAAGGCGGCCCCCUGGACAAAGACUGACGCUCAGGUGCGAAAGCGUGGGGAGCAAACAGGAUUAGAUACCCGAGUAGUC